UACGUAGGUGGCAAGCGUUGUCCGGAUUUAUUGGGCGUAAAGGGAGCGCAGGCGGUGAUUUAAGUCUGAUGUGAAAGCCCACGGCUCAACCGUGGAAGGUCAUUGGAAACUGGAUCACUUGAAUAUAGAAGAGGAAAGUGGAAUUCCAUGUGUAGCGGUGAAAUGCGUAGAGAUAUGGAGGAACACCAGUGGCGAAGGCGGCUUCCUGGUCUGUAACUGACACUGAGGCGCGAAAGCGUGGGGAGCAAACAGGAUUAGAUA
rnacentral:rRNA from 1 species